UACGGGAGUGGCAAGCGUUAUCCGGAAUUAUUGGGCGUAAAGCGUCCGCAGGCGGUCUUGUAAGUCUGUCGUCAAAGCGUGGAGCUUAACUCCAUUUACGCGAUGGAAACUGCAAGACUAGAGUGUGGUAGGGGCAGAGGGAAUUCCCGGUGUAGCGGUGAAAUGCGUAGAUAUCGGGAAGAACACCAGUGGCGAAGGCGCUCUGCUGGGCCAUAACUGACGCUCAUGGACGAAAGCCAGGGGAGCGAAAGGG
rnacentral:rRNA from 1 species